GAUGAAUGCUGGCGGCGUGCCUAACACAUGCAAGUCGAGCGGCAGCGAGGGGUGCUUGCACCCUGUCGGCGAGCGGCGAACGGCUGAGUAACGCGUAGGAAUUUGCCCCAAAGUGAGGAAUAACUGCCCGAAAGGGUAGCUAAUGCCGCAUCUGGUCUUCGGAUUAAAGGAUUUAUCCGCUUUGGGAGAAGCCUGCGUUGGAUUAGGUUGUUGGUAGGGUAAUGGCCUACCAAGCCGACGAUCCAUAGCUGGUCUGAGAGGAUGAUCAGCCAGACUGGAACUGAGACACGAUCCAGACUCCUACGGGAGGCAGCAGUGAGGAAUCUUCCACAAUGGGCGAAAGCCUGAUGGAGCAACGCCGCGUGAAGGAUGAAGGCCUUCGGGUUGUAAACUUCUUUUAUGAGUGAAGAAUAUGACGGUAACUCAUGAAUAAGCACCGGCUAACUACGUG
rnacentral:rRNA from 1 species